AGAGUUUGAUCCUGGCUCAGAGUGAACGCUGGCGGCAUGCCUAACACAUGCAAGUCGAACGGUAACAGGCCCGCAAGGGUGCUGACGAGUGGCGGACGGGUGAGGAAUACAUCGGAAUUUGCCCAGUCGUGGGGGAUAACGUAGGGAAACUUACGCUAAUACCGCAUACGACCUCACGGUGAAAGCGGGGGAUCGCAAGACCUCGCGCGAGUGGAUGAGCCGAUGUCGGAUUAGCUAGUUGGCGGGGUAAAGGCCCACCAAGGCGACGAUCCGUAGCUGGUCUGAGAGGAUGAUCAGCCACACUGGGACUGAGACACGGCCCAGACUCCUACGGGAGGCAGCAGUGGGGAAUAUUGGACAAUGGGGGCAACCCUGAUCCAGCAAUGCCGCGUGUGUGAAGAAGGCCUUCGGGUUGUAAAGCACUUUUAUCCGGAACGAAACGCGCAGGGUGAAUAUCCUUGCGAACUGACGGUACCGGAGGAAUAAGCACCGGCUAACUUCGUGCCAGCAGCCGCGGUAAUACGAAGGGUGCAAGCGUUACUCGGAAUUACUGGGCGUAAAGGGUGCGUAGGUGGUUGUUUAAGUCUGUUGUGAAAGCCCCGGGCUCAACCUGGGAAUGGCAAUGGAUACUGGACAGCUAGAGUGCGGUAGAGGGUAGUGGAAUUCCCGGUGUAGCAGUGAAAUGCGUAGAGAUCGGGAGG
rnacentral:rRNA from 1 species